GACGAACGCUGGCGGCGUGCCUAAUACAUGCAAGUCGAGCGCAGGAAACUGACGGAACUCUUCGGAGGGAAGGCAGUGGAAUGAGCGGCGGACGGGUGAGUAACACGUAAGGAACCUGCCUCAAGGAUUGGGAUAACUCCGAGAAAUCGGAGCUAAUACCGGAUAGUUCAUCGGACCGCAUGGUCCGUUGAUGAAAGGCGCUCCGGCGUCACCUUGAGAUGGCCUUGCGGUGCAUUAGCUAGUUGGCGGGGUAACGGCCCACCAAGGCGACGAUGCAUAGCCGACCCGAGAGGGUGAUCGGCCACACUGGGACUGAGACACGGCCCAGACUCCUACGGGAGGCAGCAGUAGGGAAUCUUCCACAAUGGACGAAAGUCUGAUGGAGCAACGCCGCGUGAGUGAUGAAGGUUUUCGGAUCGUAAAACUCUGCUGUAAGGGAAGAACACGUACGAGAGGAAAUGCUCGUACCUUGACGGUACCUUACGAGAAAGCCACGGCUAACUACGUGCCAGCAGCCGCGGUAA
rnacentral:rRNA from 1 species